rnacentral:tRNA from 1 species
UGGGGUGUAGCUCAGUGGGAGAGCACUUGCCUAGCACAGGAGGCACUGGGUUUGAUCCUCAGCAUUACAU